UACGAGGGGUGCAAGCGUUGCUCGGAAUUAUUGGGCGUAAAGGGCAGGUAGGUGGUCUCAUUUGUCAGAGGUGAAAGCCUUGGGCUUAACCCAAGAAGUGCCUCUGAAACGGUGAGACUGGAGUCUUGGAGAGGGUCGUGGAAUUCCCGGUGUAGCGGUGAAAUGCGUAGAGAUCGGGAGGAACACCAGAGGCGAAGGCGACUACCUGGCCUGUUCUUGACGCUGAGGCGCGAAAGCUAGGGGAGCAAACGGG
rnacentral:rRNA from 1 species